rnacentral:rRNA from 1 species
AACGAACGCUGGCGGCAGGCUUAACACAUGCAAGUCGAACGCCCCGCAAGGGGAGUGGCAGACGGGUGAGUAACGCGUGGGAACAUACCCUUAUCUUCGGAACAACUCCGGGAAACUGGAGCUAAUACCGAAUGUGCCCUUCGGGGGAAAGAUUUAUUGGAUAAGGAUUGGCCCGCGUUGGAUUGGAUAGUUGGUGGGUUAAAGGCCUACCAAGGCGACGAUCCAUAGCUGGUCUGAGAGGAUGAUCAGCCACAUUGGGACUGAGACACGGCCCAAACUCCUACGGGAGGCAGCAGUGGGGAAUAUUGGACAAUGGGCGCAAGCCUGAUCCAGCCAUGCCGCGUGAGUGAUGAAGGCCUUAGGGUUGUAAAGCUCUUUCACCGGAGAAGAUAAUGACGGUAUCCGGAGAAGAAGCCCCGGCUAACUUCGUGCCAGCAGCCGCCGUAAUAC